GAUGAACGCUGGCGGCGUGCCUAAUACAUGCAAGUCGAGCGCAUGGAUUAAGAGCUUGCUCUUAUGAAGUUAGCGGCGGACGGGUGAGUAACACGUGGGUAACCUGCCCAUAAGACUGGGAUAACUCCGGGAAACCGGGGCUAAUACCGGAUAACAUUUUGAACCGCAUGGUUCGAAAUUGAAAGGCGGCUUCGGCUGUCACCUAUGGAUGGACCCGCGUCGCAUUAGCUAGUUGGUGAGGUAACGGCUCACCAAGGCAACGAUGCGUAGCCGACCUGAGAGGGUGAUCGGCCGCACUGGGACUGAGACACGGCCUAGACUCCUACGGGAGGCAGCAGUAGGGAAUCUUCCGCAAUGGACGAAAGUCUGACGGAGCAACGCCGCGUGAGUGAUGAAGGCUUUCGGGUCGUAAAACUCUGUUGUUAGGGAAGAACAAGUGCUAGUUGAAUAAGCUGACACCUUGACGGUACCUAACCAGAAAGCCACGGCUAACUACGUGCCAGCCGCCGCCGUAA
rnacentral:rRNA from 1 species